UUUCAGGAGUAGAAUUUAGUGAUUCAUCACUUACACCCAGUGGUUAUCACAGCCUUUUAUCUGUCUCUGGGCUCCACAACGAGGGCCAUCUGGUCAAGAAUGGCUACAUCCAUUUGUUUAUUUGUUGUCUGUAACUGCUUUUGUGGCUACAAGAGAGGAAUUGAAUAGUUGCCGUAGCGACCUAUGGCUCACAAAACUGAAGGUAUUUACUAUCUGGCCCUUUACAGAACCAGGUUACCAAACCCUGGAUUCUACCUUAUAAAUUAGUUCUUCAAAGUUAAGCCAAUUUUGCUAAAUAUUUUAAUACUUGUUAGUACUUCUUUCAAACUCAUUAUUUACAGAUAUAAGACCAAGGAAAAUACAAUUUACUUCCCUCUGAUCUUAUACAACUCAUUGUAUAUUCUCAAAAUUUGUUUUUUACUAUUUCUUUUCACAUUCUUGCAUGAUCAAAUUUUAAGACAAAAUUCAUUUUUUCCUGUAUAAAGCAACAGCGAAGUCACAUCCCUUAUUUUAUAAAUGCAUUUAUAUUCCUUUGUAAUGAUUAUACCUACUGUAGUCUCGAUCUUUUUCUUAAUUGGUUUCAACCUUUAAUUGAGGUAAUUGACUUCCUUCCACAGGUAUAGGGACUUCUGGGAAACAAACAGGUAGUUGAGAGCAGGUUGUCAACACAAGCUCCUUUCAGAUCGACAGAGCUCCAGUUUGGGCUGCUGUGCCUCGUAGGCACACAUGGUAGGCAUUUGCCUGUGGUCACCUACAUCCACUUCACCCUUCUUAAGGAUACACGUAAAAUUCAAGAUAGCUCUGGCUCUUAGCCAUUCAUGCUUGGAUGACAAGGAAGAGAUGAACCAUGCUGCUGUCUGAGCAAUUGGUGCAGGAAGCAAGCAUCACCGAGGAAAUCAGAGCUUCUCUGGGAAAGGCAUUACUGUUUUCGCUUGAUCAAUGACACCAGAGUCCAUCUGGGCAGCACUAAAAUUUCCCUACUUUUUCCUACCCCCAUGGGAGCACCGAUCACAAUGUCUUUCCUGCAGUGAAGGUGUUCAUCAUGCACAAGGAUGGGAAUGAUGACAGAAAUGAUCACUUUUGCAACAAGAUUUCUGGAAGAAUUUGACCUUGAUGCUGAAGGUAUAUCAAUCAUCCUCAGGAUGAUGGAGCAGGAAGAGAAAGAGCCUCUUCCCUUGGUGGCAUUUUAAGGUGCUGUAUGAGCCCUGAUUUGCUUAAACCAAGACUUCAUUUCACAUGGAGUAAAUAAGUCCCUCCUUUGGGUAAGUCCUCAUUCAUCAGGUUUUAUGGUACUUGUGCAAAACCUAAUCCUAACAUAUCUCAAUUUAUGAAUCAAUGUCCAUAGCAUAUGGCAAAUGUAUGCUAAAAUAAAUUUCAGUAGGGUAGUUCACCUGCUAAUUGAGUUCAUUGAGAAAGCUGAUAUGGGUUACCAAGAGGCCCAGUUAGAGUAAGAAAACUAUCUAGAUCUGAAAAGCUGAGUUUGUAUGGAGUGGUUUUGAAGGCUCAGAAUGUGACCUGUGGUUGUGUCUGAGAUAACUCUCCAACAUUAACUGAUCAAGGCACUAUGAUUCAGGGAUGUCAUUACUAUAUUUGGGGCCAUCUAUCCUAGUUUAUCUCCUAAAAAUAAAAUAAAAUGGCCAUCAAAGGGCAUGGGAAAGGAAGUACCAGGGUAAAAACAUGCCUGCAAACCACACUGCUCUAGGAAUGUUGUCACAGUGGGGCCUGAAGGUAGCCUGUGGCCUGUUGGAAGGAAAGAAGAUAAAACACAGAAGAUAAAACACCUUUAGCAAAGGUGCUAAAAUAUAUUUAUAAAGCGUAAGUCUUUAUACUUCCCAAUUAUGCAAAACCUUCCAUAAUUCCAUGAGGGGAAUUCCAUAAGGGGAAAAGUUGUAUUUCAACAUUUGAACUUUAAUGUUAUUUGAAGAUAAAACCAAUUUUCCUUGAACUAACACUGAAACAAUUAGACCCAUUGGUAUUUUGAAAAACACUUCUGGUGAGCUCAUCAGAGUUUGGAAGCUCUGUGAAAACAGCUGUUCCAUAACUUAUAUCAGCUUAAUAGAAACAACAGAAUUCUCUAGACUUAUUUGGGGUCCAUUCAUUAACCUGCUUUGCCUUGUGGCUCAGUUUUCACUUUCCUUGGGUUCCAGUCCUAUGGAGCAAACCACAAAGAGCCCAGUACUUUGGCCACAAACAUGGGUUUUCAAUUUGGAAAGAUAGUCUCUUUCAUUCUGUCCCGAGGCCAGAUGGAGAGGCCACAAAUUUGCUUAGCCCCAGGUACCUCUGGUCCACUCUUUACAGUAGCAACCCCUGUACAUCUUCUGUAAAAGCACACCCCUCUUUGAGGAAACAUACCCUCUCACACAUUAUUAAUUGAUACAGUUCUUGGGAAGACAAUUUGAUAAGAGCUGCCAACAUUCCAAAUGCAUGCUUGCUUUGACCAAGAAAUUCCAUUUCCAGGACUUCAACAGUUAAAUCUAUACAUAUGAACAAAGACAGAUGUCCAAAGUUACUUAUUGCUAUAGUUUUUAUAAUAGGAGGAGACGGGGGAGUGGGGGUGGAGAGUUCAUUAACGAAUGACAAAGUAAAAAAAUUACUGUCUUUGAAAGGAUGUCAAUGUGUUUGUAUGCAACCUGAGUUAGGGUGGAAAUCUAACAACCAUGGGGGAGCUGGUCCACAAAUCAAAGCCAUCCUGGCUCUUAUUGACAUAACUGAGCUGCAGAAUUAACUUUCAGUAGAGGUGCCUUAUCUUUGGCCUUCUUAUUUUGUAAGAUUAUAAAUCUUCUUCGUGGUUUUAGAAAACUGAAACUGAAUUCUCUAUUACUUUCAGAAUGUAUUACUAAUACAUUCUCUAUUACUUUUGAACCAUCCCAAGAGAGUAUCCUUUGAGAAAGAAGGUUCGGAGAAAUGCUCUGAGAUGACAUUCCUGUUGGUAAGUUGAGGGAGACCUAUGGCUCUAUGUACCUUCACACUAUGAGACCCCAGCUUCCAUUCCAAUAGCUUAUAUCUCUGAGAAUGUUGCCCUAAGUUUCCCACAGGACCAUUCUCCAUUAUUUUAAAUGGACCCAUGGAAGGAGCUGGAUGAGGGGAAACACUUCAUGGAGGCCUGCAUUUUCCAUCUCUGAGACUCAGGAGACCCAAUAUGUAGUCGCAAGAUUUCUAACUUAGCACUGUUUCUCCCAUGGUCCUGCAGGUGGUCAGAGUUCUUAUUUCAGGUCUUGAAACUGUUCCAGUUGCUUCAUGCAGAAAAGAAUUCAUUAAAGGAUAAACUCUUUGGGAUUAAGUGAUAAAACAGUACACCCUAUGUUGAGUUUCCAGAAACAACUCCCCCUCAAAACCUCACCACAGAAACAGCCCAUCAAGAAUGCUGCUACCUUUGCCUCAGUUAGGAAGCUCCAGAAUCUAGAAUAUUCCACCAGAGCCAUCUGCUCCAGACCACACUGCUCCCACCUCUGUUUGGGUUACAAGCAGGAUAUUCACAGCCUAUUUCUGUCCCCACAUAACUUAGUUCUUUCAUAACUAUUUAAAACUUUUUUUAUGUUUAAUAAUAUACUUGGAGAAUAUAGGAUAUCUCAGUGUUACAACUCAAUUUUGAGGCAAGCUCUCAAGUAACUGGAUUGGAGCUAAAUAACAUCUGCAUCUUAGGAGCAAGGGAGGCUAGGAAACAGAUGGCCACAUUUAACCCUCUGGAGUCCGGGGAGGCUGGAAGUGCAAUGGAUCUCUAGGCACAUCCAAUCCACAAUAUCCACAUCCUCUAAAAUGGAAACAAUCCAUCCUCACACCACAAAGGGAAUGUUCUUCAAACCCAACCCUAUCCAUACUGAAGAUAAGACCUCUCAAUAAGCCUAGAAGGUAGUCACUGCUGUUGCCUCGGGAGCAGGUCUCUCUACAUAGCCCUUUAAGUGUGUAUAUGAAAGGAAGUCAAUGUCUUCCUAGAAAAUCCGCUUUCAAUGUGGUGAAAUGUGCUUGUCAUUCCCAUGAUCACAUUUAAGGUUCUUUUGUCAGUGAAGUAAGCAUUCUGCUUUGUAUGGGUUCUUGUGACUAGAAGCAUGGGACUGGAGCUAAUAAUCAUAAUAAAUUACAAAAACAAAAGUGUGGCUGGUCAGAAAAACACAAGGCCAGUCUCAACUCAGCACUAUGCUACUGUUUUGGAAUUGUCAGUAUGUGCCUGCACAUGCAAAAUGGAGGUGAGGAUUACAGCUAUUAUCAGAAUACUUUCAAAUUUAAACAAAAUGAUAUUUUCCUGCAAUUAUCUGGGUGUUUCAGAUAAAUUCUGGGGUAAUUUUGUUCAAAAAAAAUCUUCAUAAUUGACACAGUUAUCUCAUACGUGUACUUCUAGACAUUGCUAAAAAUGUACUGCAAUCAAAGUAGUGCUAUAGGUGAACCCUGUUUUCAGCUUCACAGAGAAGCUGGGAAAGAACAUACGAGAUCAAGAAAUUUCUCUGCUAUCCAAUGUAACAAAAUGCACAUAAAAAUAAGUUAGAAUAGCUAAAAAGAAGAGAGAGAGAAAGAAAAAAAAGAAAGAAAAGAAAGAAAGAAAGAAAGAAAGAAAGAAAGAAAGAAAGAAAGAAAGAAAGAAAGAAAGUCAGAAAACAACCAAACUAAGGUUCACAGUCUCCUAAUGUAAGUUUAAAAAUACCAUCUACAGAGAGAACAUUCCAGAAAUUGGUCAUAGUUUAUACUUGACUCCUUCACAAGCAGUACAAUGAACAGAAAUAUGAAGACAUAAAGUUCUGAAAAAGUGGAUGGUCCCAAUUUGGAGGGAAGUAGGGAGACCGUGUGAGGGAUGGGAUUUGGAAAGGAAGCCAAGAAAAGUGUCAGAAGGGUCUUUAAACAGUUUCUCUCUACCACGAGAGAACAAUAGCUGUUCAUACAAUAGAGCUGGGACAAACUGCUAAGAACUGGCAUUUUCUGUUUAUUUGUUUUACUAGCUGGGAGAAACACAGAGUAUAAACAGGGAAGGAACAAACGUGAUGAACUCCUACUUUGCCUGUUUUCUCAUGCCUUUCCACGUAUAUUCCAGAGAGAAGCAGGAGACAGACAGAUAGGGAGGGUAGGGAGGAAAUUAUUGCCUAAAGCAGCUUGUCUUUAAGAGAAGAGGAGGGUUUGGGUUCACUUGGAAUCUGUUGAACAAUCUGAACCAGGUAUAAUACUAUUCAGGCUAUUUCUUUCAUCAUAGCUAAGUUUUGGUCAUUUAUGGUUUUUGAGAAAUUAUUCCAUUUAAUCUAAGUUGUUGAAUUUAUAUUUGAGAGUUGUUUAUAACAUUCCUUAUUAUCCUUUUAUUUAAGUUGCUUAUUAUCCUUUUAAUGUCUGUGAGGCUUGUAAUGAUUUCCCCUCCUUCAAUCUUGAUAACAGUAAAUUGUUUCUUUCCUCUUUUCUUCUUUCUUUCUCUCUCUCUCCUUCCUUCCUUCCCUCCCUCCCUCCUUCCUUCCUUCCUUCCUUCCUUCCUUCCUUCCUUCCUUCCUUCCUUCCUUCCUUCCUUCCUUCCUUCCUCUUUCUCUUACACUCUUUGCUCUACCUUUAAAAUAUAUCUGGAAUCCAACCAUUUCUCACCUCUUUCCUGCCACCACCUUAGUCCUAGUGACCAUGAUGUCUCUACAGGAUUAAUCUACUAGCCUCCGGACAGGCCUCUGUACCUCCACUCAUGCUGCUCAUCAGGUUCUCAACAGAGUAGUGAGAGUGACUCUGUUAAAAAUAUAGGUCAGAUCAUAUCACUUCUCUGCUUCAAAACCUGCAAUGGCUCUCUAGUUCACUUAUAUAAGCACAAAAAUAUGUACACAGUCCUGGAUGAUCUCUCUUCUUCCACUCCUCUCUGACCUCACCUACUAUCCUCUUCCUCUCCCACUUUGCUCCAGCCACAAUGGCUUCCUUGCUCAUCUUGGAAAAUGCCAGGCACAUACCCACCCUAGGGGCUUUACAUCAGGUUUUCUUCUGCCUCUGAUGCUCUGCUCAGUUUUGUUUUGUUUUGUUUUGCUUGGCUUAUUCCCUCAUUUUCUUCAAGUCUUUGCUCAGUGUCACCUUUUCAAUGAGACCUGAUCUGACCAUCUGUGGUAUAGUAAAUACAUUUGGUCUUUGUUCCCAGUUCCUGGUCUAGAGUUCCUAAAACUCUUGUAAUUUUUUGAGUGAUAAGGGUGCUAGGAGUAUCUUUUGUUCUAAUAUUUGGUGGUUAA